rnacentral:rRNA from 1 species
AGAGUUUGAUCAUGGCUCAGGACGAACGCUGGCGGCGUGCCUAAUACAUGCAAGUUGAACGGCUGAAGGACUGGUACUUGUACUAGUUGGAUGAGUAGCGAACGGGUGAGUAACGCGUGGGUAACCUACCCCUUAGCCGGGGGACAACUAGUUGGAAACGAUAGCUAAUACCGCAUAACAACUCACUAACACAUGUUAGUGAUUUUGAAAGCACCAAUUGGUGCAC